rfam:Cavia porcellus supercont2_113 genomic scaffold, whole genome shotgun sequence.
UGGCGCCCCAACAUGGGACCCAAGAACAGGGGACUUAAUGAGGGACGCUGUUAGUGGGCCCAAAGUAGAAAAAGGAAAAGAAAAUAGAGGACCAACGUGGGAGCCUGCCAUGCCACUGAACCUCAGUAAGUGAACAGCAAUUAUGGGACAACAAAUUAGCCAACAUGAAACUUUUGUUGAAAGUUUAGAAAAGCUUUAAAGAUG